rnacentral:tRNA from 1 species
AGCCCUGAGGUGUUUUACAUGUUGGAUUGCAAAUCCAAAGUGGUAGGCUAACCCCUUCCGGGGCUU